rnacentral:tRNA from 1 species
GUCUGCUUAGCUUAUGAAUUAAAGCUUUGCUUUGAAGGAGCAACGAAACUAGACUGUAGCAGACA